rnacentral:rRNA from 1 species
GGAAACAAGAUGCUAAUACCGGAUAACAACAGAUGAUGCCUAUCAACUGUUUAAAAGAUGGUUCUGCUAUCACUCUUGGAUGGACCUGCGGUGCAUUAGCUAGUUGGUGGGGUAAANGCCUACCAAAGCGAAGAUCAGUAGCCGAGUUGAGAGACUGACCGGCCACAUUGGGACUGAGACACGGCCCAGACUCCUACGGGAGGCAGCAGGC